rnacentral:rRNA from 1 species
GAUGAACGCUGGCGGCGUGCCUAAUACAUGCAAGUCGAGCGAAUGGAUUAAGAGCUUGCUCUUAUGAAGUUAGCGGCGGACGGGUGAGUAACACGUGGGUAACCUGCCCAUAAGACUGGGAUAACUCCGGGAAACCGGGGAUAAUACCGGAUAACAUUUUGAACCGCAUGGUUCGAAAUUGAAUGGCGGCUUCGGCUGUCACUUAUGGAUGGACCCGCGUCGCAUUAGCUAGUUGGUGAGGUAACGGCUCACCAAGGCAACGAUGCGUAGCCGACCUGAGAGGGUGAUCGGCCACACUGGGAAUGAGACACGGCCCAGACUCCUACGGGAGGCAGCAGUAGGGAAUCUUCCGCAAUGGACGAAAGUCUGACGGAGCAACGCCGCGUGAGUGAUGAAGGCUUUCGGGUCGUAAAACUCUGUUGUUAGGGAAGAACAAGUGCUAGUUGAAUAAGCUGGCACCUUGACGGUACCUAACCAGAAAGCCACGGCUAACUACGUGCCAGCCGCCGCGGUAA